CGGACGGUGAGUAACGCGUGAGGACCUGCCUUCAGUGGGGACAACAGUUGGAACGACUGCUAAUACCGCAUAACGUACGGGUAUCGCAUGGUAUCUGUACCAAAGAUUUAUCGCUGAGAGAUGGCCUCGCGUCUGAUUAGCUAGUUGGUAGGGUAACGGCCUACCAAGGCGACGAUCAGUAGCCGGACUGAGAGGUUGGCCGGCCACAUUGGGACUGAGAUACGGCCCAGACUCCUACGGAAGGCAGCAG
rnacentral:rRNA from 1 species